GUACGGCCGCGCUGCGCUGCCACCUGGUGCAGCUUACCCAGCUGGGCCCCAGCUCUGGCCUGACCAUGCAGAAUUGUGAGGAAGAGGAGUUGUGCCACCAGACACUGCUGCGCGUGCGCACUGGCCCGGUGGUAAGGGCUGCAUAGUGGCCGGGCCGCAGAGCACCGGGGUGUCCCAGUACCGGCUGCCCCCUGAAGUGAGCCUCACCCUCUACAACCACGUGUGCUCCACGGACCUGUGCAACGACGACCAGACCUUGGCCUCACUCUGGAACACGUCCCGGGGGGGGGCGGGGGGGGCAGGAGCUGUGUCCCCGCAGGCGUGGGAGGCCGGCUGUGAGCUGGAGUCUGCCUGCCGCCAGCCCCCCCCCCCCCGGCUCGGGGGUCCUUCUGGCUCCGCCCACCCGCUGUGAGCUGGGGUUCGGGAUGAAGCAGACAGAAGUCGGAGGGGGCCGCGUGGGGGGCAUCCUCCUCCAAGGUCCCGGGACGCAUUCGAGCCUCCCAGCCAGCCCUGGAAACUUCAGCAGCAGGACCUUGGUGCCUGCCAAGAUCUGGCGUCAGGCCUGCGCUGCCCUGCAGUCCUGUCCCGAAGACUCGCCCUUCAUCCCCUCCCCCCAGAGGACCCACUGCUACCGAGGAGCCCUCAAACUCAUGAGCGGCAACUUGUCCCUGCCCCUGGCUGUCUGGGGCUGCGCUUCAUGGGCCAGCUGCAGUCUGCUGGGUGGCCUCUGGACUCCUGGGCCCAUUGCCUUGAGGGAGACUUGUGAGGAUGAGGGAGAAAUGAGGGAUGUGUGGGACCGCUGGACCGGAAGAGAUGGUGCAGUUUUUGCCAGACCCAGGACUGGCCUGGAAGGUGAGAUUGGGAUCGCUGCUGGCCCUGAGGGGGUGCUGCCUUACCCAGCCCUGAGCCCUUGGGACCUCGGUCUCUGAACACCCGAGCCUUCUGUCCCCUGACCCUUCUCCUUCUGCAUAACAUCUCCACCUCCUUCUCUCCCAUGUUCCAACCUGGGAUUCUGAUCAAACUGUUGCCCUUCACUUUUUGGAAGUCCUAAAGGCUCUGGUCUCUCCUAAGACUGUAGGUCUCUGUUACCUCUAACCCCUCCCAGGCCCCUGCCCCGAGGGUCUCGGCUUUGGUUGGACAGAAAGAACCAAUAAAACCACUUUCUCUGCCUUGGUGUGUCUGAGU
rnacentral:lncRNA from 1 species